rnacentral:rRNA from 1 species
UUCCAUGUGUAGCGGUGAAAUGCGUAGAUAUGUGGAGGAAUACCAGUGGCGAAGGCGGCCUCCUGGCUCGACACUGACACUGAGGUGCGAAAGCGUGGGGAGCGAACAGGAUUAGAUACCCUGGUAGUCCACGCCGUAAACGAUGUCUACUAGCUGUAGGGGUACUUGAGACCUUUGUAGCGCAGCUAACGCACUAAGUAGACCGCCUGGGGAGUACGGCCGCAAGGUUAAAACUCAAAUGAAUUGACGGGGGCCCGCACAAGCAGUGGAGCAUGUGGUUUAAUUCGAUGCAACGCGAAGAACCUUACCAGGCCUUGACAUCCUAGGAAUCCUGUAGAGAUACGGGAGUGCCUUCGGGAAUCUAGUGACAGGUGCUGCAUGGCUGUCGUCAGCUCGUGUCGUGAGAUGUUGGGUUAAGUCCCGUAACGAGCGCAACCCUUGUCCUUAGUUGCCAGCACAUUAUGGUGGGAACUCUAAGGAGACUGCCGGUGACAAACCGGAGGAAGGUGGGGACGACGUCAAGUCAUCAUGGCCCUUACGGCCUGGGCUACACACGUGCUACAAUGGCUAGGACAGACGGCUGCAAACCCGCGAGGGGGAGCUAAUCCGACAAACCUAGUCGUAGUCCGGAUCGGAGUCUGCAACUCGACUCCGUGAAGUCGGAAUUGCUAGUAAUCGCGAAUCAGAAUGUCGCGGUGAAUACGUUCCCGGCCUUUGUACACACCGCCCG